UUUCCGUAGGUGAACCUGCGGAAGGAUCAUUACUGAGUGAGGGCCCCUCGGGGUCCAACCUCCCACCCGUGUUUAACGAACCUUGUUGCUUCGGCGGGCCCGCCUCACGGCCGCCGGGGGGCAUCUGCCCCCGGGCCCGCGCCCGCCGAAGCCACCUGUGAACGCUGUCGGAAGUAUGCAGUCUGAGACAAUUAUUAAAUUAAUUAAAACUUUCAACAACGGAUCUCUUGGUUCCG
rnacentral:misc_RNA from 1 species